rnacentral:misc_RNA from 1 species
GGUCUAACCACCGGGAUGUUUCAUAACCCUUUGUUGUCCGACUCUGUUGCCUCCGGGGCGACCCUGCCUUCGGGCGGGGGCUCCGGGUGGACACUUCAAACUCUUGCGUAACUUUGCAGUCUGAGUAAACUUAAUUAAUAAAUUAAAACUUUUAACAACGGAUCUCUUGGUUCUGGCAUCGAUGAAGAACGCAGCGAAAUGCGAUAAGUAAUGUGAAUUGCAGAAUUCAGUGAAUCAUCGAAUCUUUGAACGCACAUUGCGCCCCCUGGUAUUCCGGGGGGCAUGCCUGUUCGAGCGUCAUUUCACCACUCAAGCCUCGCUUGGUAUUGGGCAUCGCGGUCCGCCGCGUGCCUCAAAUCGACCGGCUGGGUCUUCUGUCCCCUAAGCGUUGUGGAAACUAUUCGCUAAAGGGUGUUCGGGAGGCUACGCCGUAAAACAACCCCAUUUCUAAGGUUGACCUCGGAUCAGGUAGGGAUACCCGCUGAACUUAAGCAUAUCAAUAAGGCGGAGGAGAUCAUUACUAGUGACCCCGGUAUAACCACGGGAAUGUUCAUAACCCUUUGUUGUCCGACGCUCUUGCCUCCGGGGCGACCCUGCCGUCGGGCGGGGGCUCCGGGUGGACACUUCAA